GACCAGCCGGGCAGACAGGCCUCAGACAAGUCAGGAUGAGGCUGGGAUUGCAGGUUCUGCUUCUGGAAGCCGACCUCCUGUAAGGCGCCCAUCACAGGGCUUGGGCCACUUACCCAGGAGGCCAAGUUCGACACGGCGUCUUGCCUCGGAAUCUGCGGCUCCAUCAUCCCCACCCAGGCGACGACUUUCGGCAGUGUCACCCCAGCCACCACUGGCACUAUUGGCGAGUUCUCAGAGUGAUGAGCCCCGAUCACCUCAGUUAUCUGAGCACAGCUUGAUGGCCGACGUGGACCAGCAGGGCCAAGACCAACAG